rnacentral:ribozyme from 1 species
GGGCGGAACAAUAGCCGCCCGGCAACUAAAACGGCCACACCGUGAACGGGUGCGAGUGUCCCAAGCCACUAUAAACCGUUGAGGGGUUG